GCCGCCUGCUCAUGCUGCCAUAGCCCAUCAUGAUGUGCCAUGGCAGCUUAGAACAGCCCCACAGCUGCAUGCUUUUUGCCUUUAUGCAAGAGAAACUGGCAAACACAGACAAAAAUACCAAGCAUGAGGACUUGCAUCUCAG
rnacentral:lncRNA from 12 species